rnacentral:rRNA from 1 species
CGGCAGCCCGAGUGGUGAUCACUAUUAUUGGGUCUAAAGGGUCCGUAGCCGGUUUGAUCAGUCUUUUGGGAAAUCUGACAGCUUAACUGUUAGGCUUCCAAAGGAUACUGUCAGACUUGGGACCGGGAGAGGUAAGAGGUACUACAGGGGUAGGAGUGAAAUCUUGUAAUCCCUGUGGGACCACCAGUGGCGAAGGCGUCUUACCAGAACGGGUCCGACAGUGAGGGACGAAAGCUGGGGGCACGAACCGGAUUAGAUACCCGAGUAGUCC